rnacentral:ncRNA from 1 species
UUUAAUGGCGCUUUCCCACUCCACACCAAUGGGGCGGCGUACAUCAAAAAGGAGGUCAAAAAAUCCGUCCGGCUCGCGGUGCGGCAGUGUGGAGACCUGUCGUAAAAGGAACACGUUCUAAUAAAAAUCGAACGGUUUUGAGAUGAUUUUUGCGGAGGCUGGAUCAUCAGAGCUGAGAACAUGAGU